CUCUCUCCUGCCAACAAAACCCAUUUUCUCUUCCUCUCCAAAACCCACGGCCAUAAAACCCACAAAACCUACCCACAGCCCCCAUUGCUUGGAGGAAGCCAUUGUCGGAAAAAGCUUAUGGAAGCCAUGCCAAAGAAGCCCCAUGGAAGCUAUGGUCCAUAAAGCCAAAGCCACCUCCAAGAAACUCCCGUAAAAAUCGUUUCUCUCUAGGUUUUGGGUUUUGGUGCUUUUGGAAAAACCACACUUAAUUACUUCCCAAGGAAAUGUCACAUCGAAGAGGAAGAGUAUAAAUAGUGUCUUCAAAAGAUGAGUUGGACAAUCUA